rnacentral:lncRNA from 1 species
AAGCAAAUAUAACUUUCAUUCCUUAUUGAAACUUCAUGCAAGUUCUUUCUAAUAUAAUGCACAACAGGUCAUUAUCAUGUUUCAUACAUAUUUUUUGCUGGCCAACUAUCACCACUUAAUCAAAAAACUAUGUAAAAACCUAUCUAUCAAAUACAAAUGGAAUUGCGAUAAAAAUACAUGUGGAAUCAGGUUCAAGGAUUUCCUUUUUCUCUUUUUUGGGUAUAUAUAUGUAGAUUUACAAAACAAGGCUAGUUAGUGAGGGUUGUGGUCAGUUUCCACCAAAAGUAGUGGAAGAAAUAAAAUUAGUAACAUCCUGAAUGCUGCUUUCUCCAGUUUGAUUGCAAAGAAAACAAGCUAAACUCAGGAUCCAAGUCAAUCUGUGUUGGAAAAGUUUUGAGGCUUACUGCUUGCAAAUGCCAACCAUACGAUCGUACCGGUCAAAUAGAAGAAGAUUGAUGGUGCAAACAAUGAUAUCUGCAUGAUACAAAUGCGGGAGCGGAAAUUAAUAAUAUAGGAUAAAAGUGAAUGAUAGGAUUGCUGAUAAAAUAUUCAAAAACUUACACUCCACGAAUGGGUUGUAUCAAGAAGAUAACCGGUCAACGCAACACCAAUGAUUCCAGGUAUUGCUCCAACAGUGUUUGUAAUGCCCUGAGUCAAACAAAAAUUCAAAGAAAAACUUCUCACUUCUCAAAUUAAUCUGCAAGAAGAUAUCUUUUUCGACUCAUACUUAGAUGUAAUGAAUAUUAUUGGAUAAAAUAGCCAAAUAUAUAAAUUCACCCUUGUACCAUUUGUGAAAAACUGUAAUGCCUCAAUUUUUAUUUUGAUUCAAAACACUUAAACAUAUAAAAUUACAGUUAUUAAACACUUCUAUUUGCUAGCUUUCCUCUAAUUUCUUAUUCUUUUUUUGUAGUUAUAGAUAAUUUAUAAGAAUUUUUUCUCGAGUAUUAAAUAAGUCAUACACAUUAAAUUAAACAGUAACAUUCACCUUAAGAUUACAUGGCACCAAAUGGAAUAGUAAUUGAUCCAACAAGACAUAAAUAUAAGCAAAUAUAACUUUCAUUCCUUAUUGAAACUUCAUGCAAGUUCUUUCUAAUAUAAUGCACAACAGGUCAUUAUCAUGUUUCAUACAUAUUUUUUGCUGGCCAACUAUCACCACUUAAUCAAAAAACUAUGUAAAAACCUAUCUAUCAAAUACAAAUGGAAUUGCGAUAAAAAUACAUGUGGAAUCAGGUUCAAGGAUUUCCUUUUUCUCUUUUUUGGGUAUAUAUAUGUAGAUUUACAAAACAAGGCUAGUUAGUGAGGGUUGUGGUCAGUUUCCACCAAAAGUAGUGGAAGAAAUAAAAUUAGUAACAUCCUGAAUGCUGCUUUCUCCAGUUUGAUUGCAAAGAAAACAAGCUAAACUCAG